AAAAUUCAAAAUUUUAACUGCUACUUUUCAUAUCUUGUUUAAAGUGCUUUAAGUGAAAAAAAAGCUUUUGUCACCGAAAAACCCUCUCUGGCUGCUCUUUCAGACUUAUCGCACUUAUCUGUGAAUUAAAUAAAAAUUUUUAAAAAAAAAAAAUUCUGCAUUCUGUUUGUUUAUCAAUCUACUGCUGCUUCAUAAGACUGCGGGCGGUAGCGACAAUGACGCCGUCUCCCCAUUACCUCUUCUUAUCAUUGGCCCACAAAGUUGUUAUAAUUAAAGUUGGUCGUCCCAUCGCCAUACGAUGGCACAUACAUUCAUGCUAAAGGUAUCGCAUUAAGGCUAAAACUAAUAGGAGUUCAGUAUCAAACGCGUAACACCAAUCGACGUUGGUCCGGAGGUCGUCGUCUCAUAUCUCUCCAAUGUCAACGACCAAUUGAGACGAGAGUGUCAACGAUAACAAAGCAACACUAUAAACACGAUUAUUAUCUACUCGCACAAACCAACAAAAAUUAACCCUGAAUUCUACUGCAAAGUGAAACAACACUGAGGAGAUAAGUUUGACGUUCAGUCAGCGGCGUCAACCCUCGAAAAGUGGCUAGUAAACAUUUCAAAAACAAGUUAAGAAGCAGAUAUUGAAAUCAUAUCAAACAAACAAGCAGGACCAAAGCCAAAGCAAAAGAAAA